GAUGAACGCUGGCGGCGUGCCUAAUACAUGCAAGUCGAGCGAACAGACGAGGAGCUUGCUCCUCUGACGUUAGCGGCGGACGGGUGAGUAACACGUGGAUAACCUACCUAUAAGACUGGGAUAACUUCGGGAAACCGGAGCUAAUACCGGAUAACAUGUUGAACCGCAUGGUUCAACAGUAAAAGACGGUCUUGCUGUCACUUAUAGAUGGAUCCGCGCCGCAUUAGCUAGUUGGUAAGGUAACGGCUUACCAAGGCAACGAUGCGUAGCCGACCUGAGAGGGUGAUCGGCCACACUGGAACUGAGACACGGUCCCGACUCCUACGGGAGGCAGCAGUAGGGAAUCUUCCGCAAUGGGCGAAAGUCUGACGGAGCAACGCCGCGUGAGUGAAGAAGGUCUUCGGAUCGUAAAACUCUGUUAUUAGGGAAGAACAAAUGUGUAAGUAACUAUGCGCGUCUUGACGGUACCUAAUCAGAAAGCCACGGCUAACUACGUG
rnacentral:rRNA from 1 species